AAUGGAGGCAACUCUGAACCAGCCAUGCCGCGUGCAGGAAGACUCCCUAUGGGUUGUAAACUGCUUUUAUAUGGGAAGAAACAGUUCUCGUGUAGAACCUUGACGGUACCAUAAGAAUAAGCACCGGCUAACUCCGUGCCAGCAGCCGCGGUAAUACGGAGGGUUCAAGCGUUUUCCGGAUUUAUUGGGUUUAAAGAGUGCGUAGGUGGUUUAUUAAGUCAGUGGUGAAAUCCUGCAGCUCAACUGUAGAACUGCCAUUGAUACUGGUAAACUUGAGUUUGGUUUAGGUAAGCGGAAUUUAUGAUGUAGCGGUGAAAUGCAUAGAUAUCAUAAGGAACACCAAUAGCGAAGGCAGCUUACUGGACCACAACUGACACUGAGGCACGAAAGCGUGGGUAGCGAACAGGAUU
rnacentral:rRNA from 1 species